rnacentral:rRNA from 1 species
AGCAGCCGCGGUAAUUCCAGCUCCAAUAGCGUAUAUUAAAGUUGUUGCAGUUAAAAAGCUCGUAGUUGAAUUUCGGGGUUAGCAGGUCGGUCGUGCCAUCGGUAUGAACUGGUCUCGCUGAUCCCUCCCUCUUGACGAACUGUGAUGCCAUUAAUUUGGUGUCGCAGGGAAUCAGGACUGUUACUUUGAAAAAAUUAGGGUGUUUAAAGCAGGCUCACGCUUGAAUACAUUAGCAUGGAAUAAUGAAAUAGGACGUUUGAUCCUAUUUUGUUGGCUUCUAGGAUUGACGUAAUGAUUAAUAGGGAUAGUUGGGGGCAUUAGUAUUCAAUUGUCAGAGGUGAAAUUCUUGGAUUUAUUGAAGACUAACUACUGCGAAAGCAUUUGCCAAGGAUGUUUUCAUUAAUCAAGAACGAAAGUUAGGGGAUCGAAGACGAUCAGAUACCGUCGUAGUCUUAACCAUAAACUAUGCCGACUAGGGAUCGGACGAAGUUAAUUUUAAAUGACUCGUUCGGCUACCG